GUGUCAGCAGCCGCGGUAACACGGAGGGGGCGAGCGUUGUUCGGAAUCAUUGGGCGUAAAGCGUAUGUAGGUGGCCGGAUAAGUCAGACGUGUAAGCCCACGGCUCAACCGUGGAAUUGCGUUUGAAACUAUUCGGCUUGAGUGCAGGAGAGGAAGGCGGAAUUUCCAGUGUAGCGGUGAAAUGCGUUGAUAUUGGGAAGAACACCAGUGGCGAAGGCGGCCUUCUGGCCUGCAACUGACACUGAGAUACGAAAGCCAGGGGAGCAAACGGGAUUAGAUACCCCGGUAGUCCUGGCUGUAAACGAUGGGCACUAGGUGUAGGAGGUGUUGAUCCCUUCUGUGCCGCAGCUAACGCAUUAAGUGCCCCGCCUGGGGAGUACGGUCGCAAGGCUGAAACUUAAAUGAAUUGACGGGG
rnacentral:rRNA from 1 species